GGCAUCAACCAAAUUGCCUCAACAUAGAGACGAACGUCUUUCUUCAGGGUUCCCCUGGUAUGUCUCCUAAGUGUGAAAACACCUUGACUUCCUGAACCUCCUGAGAAGAUUCCAGGGAGUCUGGAGCCAAUCCUGUACCAAUUUCAACUAUUUUCAAGGUUCAGAGCUCUUCUGGCCAGAGAACAUUCAGAAUGGAGGAAGACCGGCUUCUGUGAGUCCCAAAAUGCUUCAGCCACAUCAUCUGUACCCUCACCACAUCAGCUUCAGCCCCAUCCCCUGCACCCUCACCACACCAGCAUCUGUCAUCUCUUAUGUCCACAUAGGAGGAAACACGGAAAAAAAGUCUGCAACCUCCAAGUGAA